UCUCCCCAGUGGCGAUGUUAAUACGCCACACCAGUUACUCGUUUUGAGGCUGAGUCCCUCCCUCGCCACUCUGCCUCCCUCGCCACUCUGCCUCCCUCGCCACUCUGUAGAGGACGUGAAAUUUGUAUGAAUUUACCUCAGAGUGGCGUGUUGGGUGUCGAGGCCUAGCACCGUGCAGAGCCUCCCGCCUUGCCUGAUUUUCGCACCCGGCGAACGCUGGGUACGGGUGCCGGUCCCCCCCCCCCCCCCCGCGCUAUUAAAAAUGGCGUCCACCCCGCGGAGAAAAGUUGCUACUCGUUGCCAGGGGCAACCGCCGUCCAAUGAAAGCGGCGAAGGCGUGGCUAGCCGUUGCCAGGGGCAACCGCCGUCCAAUGAAAGUGCAGUCCACACACACACACACAGACACACAGACAUGAACGAUUUUAUAUAUAUAGAUACUGCCUUCAAUUUUUAUGAACGACUGGGUGUUUAAGGUUCACGAUUUGUCGUAUUAUCUGGCUGUAUAGCAAAUGCAAAAAUACAAUUAAUUUACUAUGCAAGUAAAACAUUGUGUUUAAUAUUGUGUGUUUUAUGGCUCCUUUAUAACAUAUGCUACAGUCCCCGCACUAGCUUAAUCCAGCACUGCGUGUCUGUGUAGUAUGUACUGUCACACACACACACAUCAAGUGAUACGCAAAUUAAUUGAUGUUGGCCUUCUGGAGAAAGAUAACGCCGUAAGGCCCACUGAGCUAUGUAGCUCUUUUUCAGAAGCGACCUGGCCACAAAAGAUGUCUCAACGAAGUGGCUUAUCACGUGGACAUUUAUAGCAGCCAAAUAACUCUAAACGCAUGUUUUUUAAAUGUGGAGGGAAAAACCGGAGGACCCGGAGAAAAAUCCACGUGACCACGGGGAGAGAGACAUUCAAACUCCAAAUACACAGGCAUGUCGGUGUCGGUGUUCGUUCUGGCUCCGUCUUUGUCGUUGCCUGCCGCGCCGGGGCGACACGUGGAGCCGCGUCCGCCCCGGGGAUGAGGACCCGAGGCGGCUCCCACAGGGAGAGCCGCCCCAGCCCCUCGGCACGGCCGAUAUGAGACGAUGGGAGGAUGUCCAAGCAGGGAAGCCUUGGCAGCUCUUACGUGAGGGUCCUGCCGGAAACGAUUGGCCCAGUGCGUCUUGACUUCUUCCCCGUGGAAGUCGAAGAACUCAAGAGAACACCAGGCAUACGAGGAUUUAACAAACUCUAUAGCGUUUAGCUAUAGCAACUGAGUUUUUGUUUUUACUUUGUAUGGAAAGGCUUUUACAAACAAACUCGUGUGUGUAUCUACGCAAGCGAAUGUCCUUAAGUUUGGAACGUUGUCCCUUAAUGAGCUUUGUUUAUUAUUAUUAUCAGAUAUGAGAAUUCUGUCAACAUUAUUCAUAUGAAUUGGAAUUUCCAGUGGCAAUUAGGGUGUUAUUGACAUCAGAAGUACUCAUAAUUAUCGUGAGCCCUGCUUUAAACUUUAAGUUGUUCAAUAAUUUAUUGGGAGUUAAUUUCCUUUGGUUGUUAUAAUGAUUAUGUCAUCGGCAAAAUACUUUUUGAACAAAAGUCACGUAGAACAAGUUCACUACACAGCCGAAGAUAUCUGUUGAGAGUCACACAGCUGGAAAAUAUAUCAGAUAUAUGAGCACCUAAGACAGGAUGGACCAAGAUUAAAGUGUUGGGAAAAGAUUCAAACUAGAAAAAGUUGGGGUGUUUUGUAAAAGUUAAUUGAUUAAUGAACAAUUAAGUAUUUCAUGAGGGCAUAUUCAAUUGACCAGAAACUCAAUGAUGAAAAAAAUGAAAUGAAAACUGAAAAGUGUAAUGCUUAUAAUGACACUGAGAGGUGGAAACUCCAGUGGCGCAAUCGGUUAGCACGCGGUACUUAUAGAAUUACAGAGAGAUAAAAAUAGGAACACGUGGUUUAAAGAACAUACACAGGUUAAAGUAAUUCAUUGUGGUCACUGUGAAAGUGAUCUGCUUAUUAGUAUUACUACAUACACGUACAUAAACCUGACUUAUAACCAUGUAAGAUGCCACUAAGACAAACGUGUAUUUUGCAAGGGAGACCUGGGCUAUACUAAAAAUUACAAAAUAUUCGUACACGAAUAAAUCUGCUUCAGAGAGCGUGCAGGAUUACAUGUUUUUUUGCGUAAAGAAAAUAACAGUUCGGUUGACAUUCCUGCAAGGUCAGAGCAUAACAGCCAUGGGCCAGCUUUGUGCUUUGAGCACUAAGCAGCAAACAACAAAAUUGUCCCUGCCACCCUGGAGGAAAGUAAAACGCCGGAAGAAACAUUCAAUUUUAGAUCUCAUACUAGGAAUGACAUACAUUUUUUAAAAAUACAUGUUAUUUAUU